CUUGAGUCCCCACCGCCUUUUCAACACAAAGUGGCGCCCUUGCCUGCGACACAUUUGAGGUUUAAAGAUUUAUAAAGGAACCAAUUUGGGGUUGAAGCAGAGAACCACACACAAGGUAACAGCGUGGCCUUUCCUCCACAACAACAGUGUGGAAACACCGGAAAUGAUUUACUGAAACUGUCGCAAAAAGGUGUUUCCUCUCUUUCCUCUGAGGUGAGAAGGUUUGUGUCUGGAUAAAAACAAAACGGAAACAGACUUAGUGAAUUAAUGACGUAUGAAGCGUCACUGAAGCUUCCAGUGAAGAGCUGAAAACAUCAGAUCUGUGUGGUAUGAUGAGGAGACUGGAGCCUUCUUCACAUUAAUGCAUGACAUGUCAUAUUUCCAUCAUGUUUUUACACUGAGCUUAGCCACGACUCCUUUCUCCUGCUGUUAUUAUAGUUAUUAAGUCCAACUAUAUCUCUAAUCAGAGUGAAACAUGAAACGUCAUUUUUAGCUAUAAGUGUUAUUACAAAAGUACAUUUACUGAAGUAGUGUACUAGAACUAAGGUGCAGUACUUUAUGUGAGCGUUUGAAUAUUUAAAAUACAUCUACUUUACUACAUUCCAGAGGCAAAUAUUGCUCUUUUUACACCAUUACAUUUAUUUGAUAACUUUCGUUUCUUUGUUGAUGUAAAUUUAUAAUACAAAAUAUUAUGAACAAAUAAAAGGUAAAACUAUAUUGAUGUUGAUACUCACGAGCUACCCACAGGAUAAAGUAGGCCAAUAUAAACUGAUUUAAAUUAAACUCAGCUUCACCAGCUGCAACAGUAAAUAUGUGAUUCUGAAAUCGACCAUUUUGCUAAAUAUUUGGAGCUCUAGUAUAUUUCAUGCUAACACUUGUUCGCUUUUAGUUAUGUAAAAAAAAAAAAAGUAAUGCGUGACUUUAUAGUAUUGCUACUUUUACCCAAGUAAAAGAUCUGAGUACUUCUUCCACCACUGCCCCCCCCACUGAGAAAAAGCCUGACAACACGGAAACCCCGAGCCUUAACUGACCACUUCAACACAUCCAGAGUGCUUAAUGGGUGGCUGUGUGCUGACAGAGCUCUUGUUGCAGCCUGUUUGUCACGUAAGUGGGAAAAACUCAACUAACCGUGACGAGCGUCACCAUGACAAACAUUCAUGAUGGAGGAGAAGGCAAAACAAAAAGUGUCUCUGAGAACUCAGAAUCUCAUCUGUCGUCAAUGUC